CGACCGAGCAACGCCGCGUGCAGGAAAGAAGGGUUUUUCGGAUCGUAAAACUGCUUUUUCUCGGGGGAAGAGAACGGACGGUACCCGAGGAAGAAGCCCCGGCUAACUACGUGC
rnacentral:rRNA from 1 species